rnacentral:rRNA from 1 species
CAGCCGCCACGGUAAAACGUAGGUGGCAAGCGUUGUCCGGAAUUAUUGGGCGUAAAGGGCUCGCAGGCGGUUUCUUAAGUCUGAUGUGAAAGCCCCCGGCUCAACCGGGGAGGGUCAUUGGAAACUGGGAAACUUGAGUGCAGAAGAGGAGAGUGGAAUUCCACGUGUAGCGGUGAAAUGCGUAGAGGUGUGGAGGAACACCAGUGGCGAAGGCGACUCUCUGGUCUGUAACUGACGCUGAGGAGCGAAAGCGUGGGGAGCGAACAGGAUUAGAUACCCGAGUAGUCCCUGUCUCUUAUAC